UAAAGAGUGGUGUUUGACUACGGUUGGCCCACCGCCCUGUUUGUUUGUUUCCACAAUCAUUUUACACUGUUAAAGUGGUUCAAGUUGGCUUCGGCUGGUUUGGAUCAUUGCCCCCAACAUGCACCUGGCGUGAGCUAGUCUGCACGUUUAGUCGCCUGGCGGUGCCUUAUCCCAGGUAGGACUACAAAAACCUUAGUUCAUUUGGGAAACCAAUGAUCUAGGUUAGUACAACUCUGAGCGGUGGAUCACUCGGCUCGUGUGUCGAUGAAGAGUGCAGCCAACUGUGUGAAUUAAUGUGAACUGCAUACUGCUUUGAACAUCGACAUCUUGAACGCACAUUGCGGCCAUGGGCUAGCUCAUGGCCACGCCUGUCCGAGGGUCGGCUUAUAAACUAUCACGACGCCCAAAAAGUCGUGGCUUGGGUCUUGCCAGCUGACGUGAUUUCCCUAUUGGUGCAAACUAACGGGGUGUCAGAUCUAUGGCGUUUCCCUAAUAAUUCCAGUUACAACCUCCUUUUGGCUGAAGGCUAUAUUGGAGGGUGACUGUGGAGUCGUGGCUCAAUGGUUAUGUUUGCGCGCGCUCUGCAUUGUCACCACUGUAUCUGUCAAACGUGAAAUGCUUUGUGCAUUUUACCUGACCUCGGAUCAGACGUGAAUACCCGCUGAACUUAAGCAUAUCACUAAGCGGAGGAAAAGAAACUAACAAGGAUUCCCUUAGUAACGGCGAGUGAACAGGGAAAAGCCCAGCACCGAAGCCUGUGGCCAUUUGGUCAUUAGGCAAUGUGGUGUUUAGGUCGUUCCACAGAGGUUCUGCUCCAUCCUAAGUCCAUCAAUGAGUACGGUAGUAUGGACAUGGCCCAUUGAGGGUGAAAGGCCCGUGGGGGUGGAGACAUCGAAAGGCCAGAGCCUCUCUGGGUAGACCUUGGAGUCGGGUUGUUUGUGAAUGCAGCCCAAAGCGGGUGGUAAACUCCAUCCAAGGCUAAAUACUUGCACGAGUCCGAUAGAGAACAAGUACCGUGAGGGAAAGUUGAAAAGUACUUUGAAGAGAGAGUAAACAGUGCGUGAAACCGCUCAGAGGUAAACGGGUGGAGUUGAACUGCAAGCUUUGAGAAUUCAGCUGAUGAGUGUGGUUUGAGCUGGGUCAAAUUGGUGAACUCCGGAGUCUGCGUAUGAUCAGGUUCUCAUCUUCGGGUGAGGAUGCGCGAUGCACUUAUCAAGUGUUGUGCGCUUCGGUUGUUCCUCGGCCUGCUCGUCAGUGCACUUUCUCAGAGUAGUCACCACGACCGGCAUAUAUGCCUGGUGGAUACGGUUAAACCGGACUUGCAUUGUCUUGAUCGGCUUUGCUCGUUCGGGAUGGCAGGUAUCUCGUUGGCUUGUCUGUGGCUUGCUACAGGCUUUCGGUCUUCGAGUGUAAUCAGCUGACCGUACUAAACUUGUGCAGAAUGUCGGAGAUAGCGGCUUGUGGUGUGUUCAUUUGCAUUUGUUUGCUGACUUGUCCGGGUUUGGUUAUUUAGUUGCCUGUUAAAGCAGGCCUGGUGAUGGCUCGGAUACGUUCGGUAGAUGUUUGCAUAUGUGGCACUAUUCCAAGGGCCAAUAGUCUGUGGUGUAGUGGUAGACUUUCCACCCGACCCGUCUUGAAACACGGACCAAGGAGAGUAACAUGUACGCGAGUCAUUGGGCGUUACGAAACCCACAGGCGAAGUGAAAGUAAAGAUCUGACUUGUUCAGAUUGAGGUGAGAUCCUGUCGUUUCUCACGCAUGGUACUACCCAGCACCGA
rnacentral:rRNA from 1 species